UAGAAAUAGUAUUCUGACCCAUUUUUUCACUAACUAUCGCCUCUCUAAAGCUACUUUGUAACCUCUUCUCACAGCAUUCUUUUCACUUUGGUUGAGGACAAAUCAUUUCCAGGUUCUUAAAGAAAAUCGUUCGAGAAUCGUGAGCAAACGUGCCAUCGACUUCGACUCGCCCUCAACUCUAGCCAGUCUUCAUCACGUCAGAUUUCAGGGUUAGCUAUUGUUCCUAGCUCGGACUAGAUUGUCUCCUUCGUGUCUUGAUGUCCUUGAAGUUCGGACAUGGACCAUUCAUUUACUUAUUUUAGUUUCUUAAAUACUCUUAGAUUUAGUAAUUUGAGGAUAGAUGUUCCUGUGGUAAUGACUUCUAGAUUUUGGGAAUAAUAAGUAUUAAAUUUUAGAAUUUAUUUAUUGGUUAUAUUAAUGAGUUUUAAGUUUUCCGCAUUGUAUUUUGUUCAUUAUGGUUGAAAAUAUUGGUAAAUGAUUGGGGUCUAGAUUGGUUUGUUCGCUCACAUAGGAGGAUAAAUGUGGGUGUCACUCGCGGCUCGUUUUGGGUCGUGACAAUUUUAUAACAAUUUUUAAUUAUUUCAUUAAAUUUAUUGAGAUACACUUUUGUUUUAAACUAAAUAUUUUUUUUAAAUGAUAAGAGUGAUUGUCCGAUUGUUUGGAUUACAUCUUUGAUAGUGAAAAGAUUACUAGAUAACAAAAAAUACAAGAUAACAAUUCAAUAUAAAAGAUGAAGAAAAUAAAUCUCUAGGCUGAGGCGCAGAUAUCUCAAUUUCUUUAAGGAGAUUCAAGCCCUCUAAAACAAAUGUUUUUCACCGGUCCAAUAGUAGUUCUCUUUGACUUGUCCCCUCCAGGAUACAACAGUCUUAACACAAAAGAUAACUCAAAAACUCUGGACAAGAGUUGAGUCUAAAUCUCCACAAAAAGAAAAUCUUUCUUCAACUA
rnacentral:lncRNA from 1 species